AUUGAACGCUGGCGGCAUGCCUUACACAUGCAAGUCGAACGGUAACAGGUUAAGCUGACGAGUGGCGAACGGGUGAGUAAUAUAUCGGAACGUGCCCAGUCGUGGGGGAUAACGUAGCGAAAGCUACGCUAGUACCGCAUACGAUCUACGGAUGAAAGCGGGGGAUCGCAAGACCUCGCGCGAUUGGAGCGGCCGAUAUCAGAUUAGGUUGUUGGUGAGGUAAAAGCUCACCAAGCCUGCGAUCUGUAGCUGGUCUGAGAGGACGACCAGCCACACUGGAACUGAGACACGGUCCAGACUCCUACGGGAGGCAGCAGUGGGGAAUUUUGGACAAUGGACGCAAGUCUGAUCCAGCAAUGCCGCGUGCAGGACGAAGGCCUUCGGGUUGUAAACUGCUUUUGUACGGAACGAAAAGGCUCUGGCUAAUACCUGGGGCACAUGACGGUACCGUAAGAAUAAGCACCGGCUAACUACGUGCCAGUCGCCGCAGUAACAC
rnacentral:rRNA from 1 species